UACGGGGGGGGCAAGCGUUGUUCGGAAUUACUGGGCGUAAAGGGCUCGUAGGCGGCCAACUAAGUCAGACGUGAAAUCCCCCGGCUUAACCAGGGAACUGCGUCUGAUACUGGAUGGCUUGAGUUUGGGAGAGGGAUGCGGAAUUCCAGGUGUAGCGGUGAAAUGCGUAGAUAUCGGGAGGAAUACCAGUGGCGAAGGCGGCGACCUGGGCCAAUACUGACGCUGAGGUGCGAAAGCGUGGGGAGCAAACAGG
rnacentral:rRNA from 1 species